GUGGGGAAUCUUCCGCAAUGGACGAAAGUCUGACGGAGCAACGCCGCGUGAGUGAUGAAGGUCUUCGGAUUGUAAAGCUCUGUUAAUCGGGACGAAAGAGCCUAGUGUGAAUAAUGCUAGGAAGUGACGGUACCGGAAUAGAAAGCCACGGCUAACUACGUGCCAGCAGCCGCGGUAAUACGUAGGUGGCAAGCGUUGUCCGGAAUUAUUGGGCGUAAAGCGCGCGCAGGCGGAUCUGCCAGUCUGUCUUAAAAGUUCGGGGCUUAACCCCGUGAUGGGAUGGAAACUACAGAUCUAGAGUAUCGGAGAGGCAAGUGGAAUUCCUAGUGUAGCGGUGAAAUGCGUAGAUAUUAGGAAGAACACCAGUGGCGAAGGCGACUUUCUGGACGAAAACUGACGCUGAGGCGCGAAAGCCAGGGGAGCGAACGGGAUUAGAAACCCCUGUAGUCC
rnacentral:rRNA from 1 species